UAAGAGGCUUUUAUAAAAGCUAUAUUUAAAUACUUCAAAUUAUUAU
rfam:Physcomitrella patens subsp. patens PHYPAscaffold_285 genomic scaffold, whole genome shotgun sequence.